rnacentral:rRNA from 1 species
UGGGGAAUAUUGCACAAUGGGCGCAAGCCUGAUGCAGCCAUGCCGCGUGUGUGAAGAAGGCCUUCGGGUUGUAAAGCACUUUCAGCGGGGAGGAAGGCGAUAAGGUUAAUAACCUCAUCGAUUGACGUUACCCGCAGAAGAAGCACCGGCUAACUCCGUGCCAGCAGCCGCGGUAAUACGGAGGGUGCAAGCGUUAAUCGGAAUUACUGGGCGUAAAGCGCACGCAGGCGGUCUGUCAAGUCGGAUGUGAAAUCCCCGGGCUCAACCUGGGAACUGCAUUCGAAACUGGCAGGCUAGAGUCUGGUAGAGGGGGGUAGAAUUCCAGGUGUAGCGGUGAAAUGCGUAGAGAUCUGGAGGAAUACCGGUGGCUAAGGCGGCCCCCUGGACAAAGACUGACGCUCAGGUGCGAAAGCGUGGGGAGCAAACAGG